AUUCCAGACUCGUGUGUGGCUGCUUGCGCAGCUGCUCCGUGCCAGGCUUGGAGGACCAGGAGAAGGGGUAGUCACUUGCCACAGCUGGAGGCUGGAGCGUGUGGCACCACGGCUCGCCUCGCUGUGGUGGGCGCUGGCGGCAGAGACGGCAGCUCGGCUGGACUGUUAAACAUUAUGUAAACGAAAGUACAGAACCCUGGCAAAAUUGAAAGGCCCCAAUAUUAUUGGAACUCUUUUAUGAUUCAGCUUUUCAUGGAGUUCUACUUUAUCAUGAAAUCUAGCACACUGGUUCCUUUCAAUUAAUCCCUGAAGGUUAAUAUUUUUGGACCACAGUUGACCUGAGGUAACUGAAACUGCUGAAAACAAAACCAUGGAUAAGGGAGAACUCUUGUAUUAUCACAGAUUAUAUCAAAACUAUGGCUCUAGGCUUUUUAGAAGAGUUUAACAAGUGGAGCUUGAAGAUUUGCUGAGAUUUGUUUUGUGGCCUAACAUCUGAUCUACCCUGAAGACACUUCCAUGUGCUGAUGAGGAGAAUGCAUACUCUUCAGCUGUUGAGUGGGAUGUUCUGUGUAUAUCUGACUCAUCUUCCUUCUUUGAUGACAAGGGCUCUAAAGUGAGUCACCUAAACUGCAGUCUGAGGAGGAGUCAAGGGUACUGCAAAUGUGAGAGCCAGAUUCAGAUACUGGCAUGUGGAACAAGUUGAAGAAUGGCUAAUCUGACGUUCUGUAUUUAUCCAGAAAUUUUAACUAGGCUCCAUGAGUAAGGCUUUGAGGGCACAGUUCAGGGCUUAGCUGAUUCCCCCCAAAUGAGCUCUACUACCAGAAAUUCCCUGGUAGAGAUUAUUUAUUCUCCAGCUUUAGGGCUUUUAUUAGAUGAAAUGUCUUACUUCAUGCUUUAAUUUUAUGGUUCUAUUUUUAACAAUUUCCUGAACAGUACAUUCUACCAUGUCUCAAAAUAAACAAUUUGUUAUAUUUUUAUAAA
ensembl:lncRNA LINC01674 long intergenic non-protein coding RNA 1674